rnacentral:lncRNA from 1 species
CCUAAUACAAGCUCCUCAUCCUGCAACGCAUGAAAUUCAUAAUUAGAGCUUAUUUUUCAUUAUUUAACUAUAUUAUGACAUUCAAACAUAAUCAAGCGGGAGAAUAAACAAUCUCCAAAUUACAUAAAUCUAGCAUAUUAUCAUACCUCUAUUAGAGAGGAUACACGAAUCAACAAAAUAUUAAAUUACAAACUAACCUAACUAGUAGGAAAAGUAAAUAAGAAAUAAAACAACUAAUAUUUAAUAUUGGAAAACAAAGGAAGAAGAGAGGCGUGAAAGGAAAUGAAAGAAAUGAUGUUUCUGUUAUGUCAAAUUGGUGGAAGAGAAGUCCCUUUUAUAGGUAAAAAGUUUAAGGCUUUUCUUUCCAUUUUUCAAGUAUAAUAGUCAAAACAUGCAUGCAUCUUGCCACAUGGAUGGACAUCCGCUCACUUUUUGGGAAUAUCACAACACUAACUAGGUGUUCUGCCCUCUUACUAGUCGAUAUACCUCAGAACUAUGUAUCUUAUUUUAUGGGCUCGAUCAACAUCGGCUAAUCACCCAAGAAAGAAAAUACUACAAUAUAAUGGCUAAAUUAAGUGCAGAGGCGUAGUAUCAAUCUCUCAUUGGUGGCUUAUCUGAAAGAUAUUGGUGUUUCAUUAUCUAGUUCACCACUGUUGCUUACAGAUAAUAUCAGCAUUUUUCAUCUCACAUCCAAUAUAAUCCUAUGGUAUAUGUUCUUACAAAACAUGUUGAGCUUGACUACCAUUUUGUGCGAGAAAAGGUCAAGGUGAUAUAUAUGGUGACUAAAUUUGUUCGCUCAUUAAAUCAGGUGGCUGGCAUUUCAAAAACCAUUUUUUCCAAGACUUGGUCUCAAUUCUACAUACCAAGCUAGGUGUAGUCAGUUGUGUGGCCCCUGAACACUAGCUUGAGGGGGGUAUUAGACAACCUGGUUAGUUAGCUAGUUUAGGACUUUUAUUCCAAGCUAACCGUAGCCGCCAAGUUAGUUGUGGUUCUGUAGGUAUACAAAUUUUAUUAACAAACUCGUUGCUCUGUAGUACACACAAACACUUAAAUAUCAUGAUAGCAUUGGAAUACAUCGGCUUGGAAGGUCCAUUACUGCAAUAUCGUAUAAAUACCAAUGUACAUGCACCGUAUAAAUCAUUCAAAAGAACUCUUAACACCUUUUUAUUUUGUUCGUAGUGUAUACAGUCAAAAUCAUGUGUCCCCAAUUUUAUUGGCUCGAGGGGUAAUGCCGAGUACAAGCUCAAUAUGGGCCAGGCUCGAGCCCAAUGGAAGAAUACCAAACUCGAAGACUAAGUGUUCGAUGAACACCGGGGCCGAGUAUGAUCAACCUCGAGAUAAUACCAUUAUGGUUUUAUAAAAGAAAAAGCGAGAUUCCCGUGGAGGCCCUAAGAUCACGGUGUAAAUUAUGGAAUGGAUUUGUACUAGGCAAUUAGACAGUUAUAUAAUAAGAUUCCCUACAACAAUUAGAAUUGUACCUCAUUUAGGAUUUUCCUACUAUACAAACGAGACCCCAACCAUUUGUAACAUGCAAAUCAUUGACAAAAGAAUUUUCAUACAACACUUUCUUGCUCACUUUUCAUCUUAAUCAUCUUAUUAUUAUUUUAUUCAUGUUCAUCUACCUUGAGGCCGCCUUAGCUCAAGUCAUGUUAGUUCGUACACUGAUCUGAUUUAUCUUACUCUUUAAUUUACACACCUAAUUCAUUGUUUAUCAGUUAGUAUUGGAUUCAAUCACGUAUCUCUACAAUCAUAAAACAAAUUUAAUUGUUAAUCGGAUUUUAGGGUAAAUAGUUUGGUGCCCACAGUGGGUAUAAAGAUAAUAGUGAUUGUUUCAGUACUGAUUCUGAUAACUCACAUUAUUUUUAGACUUGUUCUUGUCGAGAAUUUUUGUUCUCAGGUUGAAUCAAGUCAAACUCACAAAAUUCACCCAUACAUGGCGAUUAUGGCCUUGGACUUCAUGGGAAAAAUGAUAAUGUAGUUGCUCCAGGAGCCGGUGUGUCACCAGUUAACCUCGGGGAAGUGCUAUUGCAGAACCUAUCGAUAUUAGUUCAUAUAUUGCUUUGAAUAGGCGCAGACCCCAUAGGAAGUGUACGAAGGAAGACCAAUCUGGUGGCCAAAGAACACAGGGUGUAGGAGACAGUAGAAUUAACCUCCAGGUAAUAUUGGAGAUGGUACAAGCUCAAUAGGUUGCUAUCACUCAUCUUCAAAGUCAAUAUAAACUCUGAGUGUGGUCGAACCAAAAAUCACUCACCGUACCGAGUCGGCACCAGAAAGGUCGAACAGUAAUGGAUCAGGAAUUGAUCCUACAAUUAUGAAGUUGCUUGAGGAGCUCACCAAAAGAAUCGAGUCGGGAGAGAAAAAAAAUUGAAGAUAAUGACAAAAAAGUAGAAACCUACAACUCUCUUAAUUAUCAAAUACCAGGGGAACCCCUGAUCUUAUAAGGUUUGAUUGCCAAGAAGUUCGUACAAAAACCAUUCCCUCCAUGUGAAACUUCGAAGCCCGUUCCUAAGAAGUUUCGUACGCCAAAUAUACUAAAGUACAACGGGAAGAGCGAUACUAAUGAACGCAUCACCUCGUACACAAAAUGAUGAUGAGAUUGAGUCAGUUUUGUUGAAAACAUUUAUGGAAACUUUGCCAAAGGGAGAAAUGAUCUGGUAUCACAACUUUCCACCAAAUUCUAUUGAUUCUUUUGCUAUGUUAGAAGCUGCCUUCGUGAAGGCACACGCUAGCCAUAAAGGUCAAAACAAGAAAAUCAUAUGUUUUUAAGAUAAGACAAAGAGGUGAUGAAAUUCUUAGAGAGUUCGUAUCCCGAUUUCAAAUGGAGUGAUUGGAAUUACACAAAUAAUUGAUAAUUGGUCCGUUCAAUCCUUUACCCAGGGGUUGAACGAGCGGAGUUCAAUCGCGUCACGAUGAUUAAAGAAAAAUUGGAUCGAGUAUCCAGCUCUAACUUGGGCGGAUGUGCAUAAUUGCUAUCAGUCGUAGAUUAGGGUCAAGGAUGACCAGCUGAGAACUCCCUCGGGUUCAGUUCAUCAAAAUAAAUUGCCGAUUAAAGCACCAAGAGAUACCGAUAGGGAGCCAAGAUCGAAAAGGGAAUGAUCAGCCAUAUGUCGUUGAUCAAAGAAAUAAUGGUUCGGGACGAAAUCCUCCUCAAAAUAAUCGAAGACAUGAUCGAGGGAAAAAUUCUUGGGCACUUAUGAGUAAGAAUGGUUUUGAUAGACAUACCUCUCCCACAUAAGCACUUCAGUUAUCAGAGUAUAAUUCUAGUGUCGAUGCAUGGGGGAUCAUAUCAACUAUCGGAAGGAUCAAAGACACCAAGUGGCCCAUACCUAUACAAUUGGAUCCUUAUCAAAAAAUUCCGAACUUGAUGUGUAAAUAUCACGACAGCAUGGCCAUAUGAUCGAAGAUUGCAAACAACUGAGGGAGAAGGUAGAUCAGAUGUUCAAUGAGGGCCACCUUCGAGAAAUUCUCAGUGAUCGAGCUAAGAAUCACUUUAGAGAAAGAUACGCCAACAGAAAGAAUGAGCCGGAAGAACCACAGCAUGUUAUUCAUAUGAUCAUUGGCGGGGUCGAUAUUGCACAAGGGCCUAUAUUCAAACGAACCAAGGUAUCAAUCACUAGAGAGAAGGGGACUCGGAGCUAUGUGCCUGAAGGCAUCCUAUCAUUCGAUGAAGAAGAAACAGAGGUCAUUUCUCGAUUGCACAACGACGCCUUGGUAAUUUCUAUUUUGCUAAAAAAAAUUCAAGUUAAACCUGUUCUAGUGGAUCCAGGUAGUUCAGCUAACAUAAUUAGAUCGAGGGUCGAAGAGCAGCUCGGCCUGCAGAACCAAAUUGUGCCUGCAUUCCGAGUGCUAAAUGGCUUCAACAUGGCAAGCGAAACAACAAAGAGGAGGAUAAUCCAACUAGUGAACGUGACCGGGACUAUUCAACAUACAAUAUUCCAUGUCACAAAAGCAACUUGAGAUAUAAUGCACUACUUAGAGGCCAUGGAUCCACAACAUGAGGGCAGUACCAUCGACCCUUCAUCAAAGGAUGAAAUUCCUGAUAGUGGAUGGUGUGAAAAUAGUUUAUGGAGAACGGCAUGUUGUAAAGGGAAUAUUUGUAGUCAAUGAAGUGACGCCAAUCUUAACGCCCCUGAACUUAGAAAAAGCGAGCACCAAAGAUAAGUAGAAGGACAAAUUGCGACCAUCGUCACCAGAUUCGACUAAAUCAGAGAAACGGGUAAUAGAAGAAGAAGAAGAAGAAGAAGAAGAAGAAGAUUUUCUUAUUCCUAAAACUUUCGUUGUUCCCAGAGAAUCAAAUGUAACCAAGUCAACAGCGAAGAGCUAGAAUAGGAUAUACUGGUCGAGUAUCUAUUCGAACAAAAGGUAUACCAGGGAACGAGGUUAACCCCCGAACUCCGGAAAAAACUCAUUCAAUUUCUUAUCGAUAACAUAGAUUAUUUUUCUUGGUCCUAUUUGGACAUGGCAGUAAUCCCACUGGAGAUAACAACACAUCAAUUAAGGUUCGACCCCGGGAUCAAACCAGUGAAGCAAGAGAGAAGACCCCGGUCCGAGGUGAAACAUGCAUUCAUAAAGGAUAAGGUAUCUUAACCUCUUAAAAUAGGGUUUAUUCAGAAUUGUUAGCCAAUGUAGUCGUAGUCCUUAAAAAAGGGAACAAACUUAGAAUGUGCGUGGAUUAUAAGGAUUUGAACAAGGCAUACCCUAAAGUGUCUUUUCCACUACCUAACAUUGAUCGUAUGAUCAAUUCUACGACUAGCCACGAGAUCCUUAUGUUUCUUGAUGCCUAUUCCUUGUACAAUCAAAUUCAGAUGGACUUGGAAGACCAGGAGAAGAACUUAUUUGUCACUAAGUAUGGAACAUACUGUUACAAUGUAAUACCCUUUGGGCUAAAGAAUGCAAGAGCUACGUGCCUAGUUAACAAAAUUUCUUGGAACAAAUAAGUAAACCAAUGGAAGUUUACAUUGAUGAUAUAUUGAUUAAGUCUGUGCGCAUAGAGGACCAUGCAAAUCAUUUGCAGGAAACAUUUGAAAUCUUGAGGAAGUACAACAUAAAUCUUAACCCAAAAAAUUUUUGCUUCGGAGUCACCUCGGGUAAGUUCCUCGGCUUCAAGGUGUCAAAUCAAGGAAUCGAAAUCAACUUUGACAAUAUCAAAUCAUCAAGGAUAUCAGCAUCAUAGAUAGCUUGUAAGCCGUAACAAGGCUAAUAGGACAGAUAGCUGCCCUGGGCUGAUUCAUUUCGAGGUCAUCAGAUCGAAGCCACAAGUUCUUUUCCUUUCUGAACAUGAAAAAUGAUUUCGCAUGCACCCCGAAAUGGCAUCAAGCAUUAGAGGAAUUGAAGUGAUACUUAUUGAGCCCACCUCUUCUUUACACUCUGAAGGUGGAUGAAAAGUUGUACUUAUAUUUGGAAAUGUCUGAAAUAGUGGUUUGAGAAGAUCAAGGUAUAUAACUUUCUAUUUAUUACGUAAGUCGAACAUUAAGAGAUGCUGAAACUAGAUAUCUGCACUUAGUUGAAUUGGCACUUGCAUUAAUAAGUGCAUCUAGAAAGUUAAAUCCAUAUUUCCAAUGUCACCCAUAUGUGUGUUAACCGCUUAUCCUCUCCAAAAUAUUUUGCAUAAGCCCGAGUUAUCGGGCCAAUUGGCCAAAUGGGCCGUCGAACUUGGUGAAUAUCAACCCUGAUUGGCCAUCAAGUCUCAAAUCUUAGUUGACGUUGUGGCUGAUUUCACGCCGACCCCCAUACCAGUCACACCUCCUUUUUCUCACCCCCGGAAGGGGUAUAAGGAAGUUUUAUUUAAUUUAAGUAACAAUCUAAAUGAAAUUAUUUUAUUUAAGAUUUAGAGUCGCCACUUGGGAUAAUUUAUGGUGUCCCCAGUUACCGAUUAAAAUCUGUAAUCGAGGAAGUUUGACUUUUAUUUAUGGUCCACGAACACAGAAAUCCAGGUAAGAAAUUUUGUUAACCCGGGAGAAGGUGUAAGGCAUUCCCGAAUUCUGUGGUUUAUGAUAGGUUGCUUAACUGUUAUUAUUGGUCUAUUUAUCUAAUUAAUUACAUACUUUAAACCUAUUGUGCAUCUUAUUCCUUCUACCGCUUUUAAAAAUCCAUGAUUGUCAUACCACUAAUUAUUUGUUUACACAUUGUGAAUUAUUUCACAGGAUCCGUACCCAUAUCUACAAUAUGUUUUUAUUAUUAACAAAAUUAAAUUCUGGUUUAUUCACAAAAAUGUACCCCCGAAUUUUAGAGACUAAGCAUCAUAACUACAUCACGGGAACCGUAUCCGUAACUAUGACAAUUGUUUAUAACACGCCUAAAGCGAACUAUGAAAGUUUAAGGCAUUUCUACAUUAUUUAAGAUAUAGAUAUGAGGACCAUAGAUUAGGUGAUUGGAUGGCACACCUCAAUUUUAUUAAAGGAAAAUCAUAUAACUACGGAUGUCCUUAUUUAAAACUAAUUCGAAAUUAAGUUUCGCAACCAUGCCAUAGGAACCAUGCCCGCAAUUCUAAUGAUUUAAAUAUAUGCCUAAAGCAAACUACGAGCGUUCAUGUUUAAAUCGAACAAAAUGAGAGCAUGAAGAGCUUUCUGUGAUACAAUAGCAUAACAAACUGUUAAACAUUCCAAAUAGACUUUUAAACCAAAUCUUGUAACCAUUAAAUAGCACAUAUUUCAAACGUCCAAAUCACGUUGCCUUAAUUUAUUAUUCAAAUUACAUACCGAUAACAUUGAUUAUAAAAUCAAGCAUGAAGAAACAAUUAAAUAAGACAUAUGCACGUUAAUUUAAAGUAGAUGAACAUAGCAACUAACCAAAGAUUCACAAAAUCUAAUUAGACUGCGGAUUGAAAAGGUAAGCAAAACAGAAAAACGGACCUUGGAAAAGGGACAUUCAUUCCUUGUUAUGAAAAACAAAAGCGGAUUUCCAAAACAAACAUAUUCCGACGAAUAGCUGACGGAAAACCUCAAAUAUCACCCAUAAAACUCAAACUUGGACACCUCAACCUCCGUCAAACUCCAUUCAUUUUCAACAAAAAGUCAAAAACUGAAUUGGAAGAGCAGAACUGUUUUUUAUGGUAUUUAUCUGAAACUAAAAUCAAACUCAAAAUCUGAAAAAUGAAAAUCCAAAAAUGCAAAGGGGUUAAUUGAUUCUUCCCGUUUGGAUUUUUAGUUCGCUAGUCCGGUGAAGGUUUGUUUUCAGCUGGAGUCGAGGAUGACAGUUUGGUUCAGGCUGGCAUGAGAGUUGUCGUUGGUGGAUGUGAGGACGAAGAAGAAGACCAGCAGGAGUGGGGUCGUUAUUGUUCAGCCGCUGCUGCUCUGAAUUCAAGAACAUGAGGAGUCGAUGGGGGCGGGUCUUUUGGUGUGGCCAUCGGCGGAUAGCUCUAGCUGCUGUUAGGUUAGCUAUUGUUGGUGUAUUUCGGGGGCGAGGGGAUGGAGAAUACGAAGUUUCAAGGGUGGGGUCAGAAAUUGGUCAGAAAAAC